GACGAACGCUGGCGGCGUGCUUAACACAUGCGAGUCGAACGGAAAGGCCCUGCUUUUGUGGGGUGCUCGAGUGGCGAACGGGUGAGUAACACGUGAGUAACCUGCCCUUGACUUUGGGAUAACUUCAGGAAACUGGGGCUAAUACCGGAUAGGAGCUCCUGCUGCAUGGUGGGGGUUGGAAAGUUUCGGCGGUUGGGGAUGGACUCGCGGCUUAUCAGCUUGUUGGUGGGGUAGUGGCUUACCAAGGCUUUGACGGGUAGCCGGCCUGAGAGGGUGACCGGCCACAUUGGGACUGAGAUACGGCCCAGACUCCUACGGGAGGCAGCAGUGGGGAAUAUUGCACAAUGGGCGGAAGCCUGAUGCAGCAACGCCACGUGCGGGAUGACGGCCUUCGGGUUGUAAACCGCUUUCGCCUGUGACGAAGCGUGAGUGACGGUAAUGGGUAAAGAAGCACCGGCUAACUACGUG
rnacentral:rRNA from 1 species